CACACACACACAAACAAACAAACAAACAAACAUAUAUAUAUAUAUAUACAAAUGCACAUAGACCCACAAUCACACGCCAGCUUUUUAUUUGACACUAGGCAAGUUGUCAGUUACCAGACUCUUGUCGUGUGUUGUCUUUGUCAAGGAUAUCUUGUAUUUUCAGCUGUUGGGACUGUCGGGGCGGGCUUGAUGUACAUUCAUCACUGAUAUACUGGUAGUUUUCACUCUCUCUCUCUCUCUGUGUGUGUGUGUGUGUGUGUGUGUGUGUGUGUGUGUGUGUGUGUAGCUCAGCUCAGCUCUCUUUUUAAAAGGUGUUGCACAUUUGAAACCCUGGAACAGAGCCCAUUCACCUUGUAGAUGUUUUUUCAUUUUCAUUUUGAGAGAAUGCUGUCUAAUUGUCUGUGUAUGUCAGUCUGUGGGAUAUAACCUGCUGUCUCCAUCAGUCCAUGUUUGGUGAGUAGCAAAGAGUGGAAUAUUAUUGAUGAGGAUAGCUGCUAUUCAGGGUACAUAUCUUUAUGCUCUGGAUAUAUUGUCCAGAGAUAAAAGUUGUUUACUUACUGCCACAAAAGACAAUUAGGAUGCAUUACUUUUUUUUUUUUUUUUUUUUUUUUUUUUUUUUUAAAGAGAUAUCUUGUUUAACACGUUUGUUUUAUGACUGUCUAGUUUGUCCAUAAGAGAUGAUUUGGAUCAGUUCAUUUUUAUACUAAGCUUUUAACAUUAAUUUAGAUACAUUUGUGUAUCUCCAGAGGAAGUAUAACCAAUAAUCCAGGGUAAGAAUACUUUUAUUUGACAUCCAGCAAGAACACACGUAACACUCGCAUGUCUCUAUUUAAAUGGCUACAAAUGUAUAAAUGUAUAUAAACGUUUCUUUUGGGUAAAUUUUUUUAUAGCAGUUAAUCAUUUAUGUGAUUAUGUAAAUAGAACAUGAAAAUAAAUGCACAUCUUCAUCACAAAAUCUUUUUUUUCUUCCAAACUUUUUUUUGACACUUUGUACUUAACACUGUAUGUCGUUUUCAAUUUAAACUGUUGUCUUUUUUUUUUUUUUUUUUUCUUUCUUAAGAAUAUCAAACUAUUUUUAAACACCUCUGUGUCUGUGGCUUUCUGAGCUGUCUGUUCUCCUCGCCAAAAUUCCUAGAGUAAGAUUCUGUUCCGUGCACGGUCCAGAAAUAAAGUGCAGCUUCAUCAGUGCAUAUUGCUCAUCGGAAAACAAAUGUACCACAAGAUAUCAUUAGAAUACUUUUUUUUUCUUUCGUUUUUUUUCCCAAUUUGGGCUGAUGCAGCCCUUUUACAAUUUAUUAGAGAUAUCUUUCGAGGCAAUUCUGUACUGUUGACGUUGAUGUUUGUAUGUCGUACUCUUUUUACAGUUGUCUCUAAAAACGCCAUUGGCAGAUGCAGAACAAUAUUCAAAUUGGUUUAGUUUAUACAUAAUGACAAAGAGAUUCAUGAAAAAUCUACUUAUAUAUUAUGGAUGCAAUAUGAUAAUUGUUUAAAAGGUACAUUUUAAAGGUUCUGUUUCAUUUAUCCAGACUUGUUAUAACUUGUAAUUUAAAAGCAUUUUGUGAAGUGAGUGUUACUGGUAACUAAUGAAUUUUCAGAGUCUGUUGUGAAUAUUCUUUGUAUUUUACCGUAUUGAGAAUAAAAAAUGUAUAUGAUUAUGUUUGACGUCCUUGUCUA
ensembl:lncRNA